CAGUCGCCGCGGUAAUACGUAGGGUGCGAGCGUUAAUCGGAAUUACUGGGCGUAAAGCGUGCGCAGGCGGUGAUGUAAGACAGUUGUGAAAUCCCCGGGCUCAACCUGGGAACUGCAUCUGUGACUGCAUCGCUGGAGUGCGGCAGAGGGGGAUGGAAUUCCGCGUGUAGCAGUGAAAUGCGUAGAUAUGCGGAGGAACACCGAUGGCGAAGGCAAUCCCCUGGGCCUGCACUGACGCUCAUGCGCGAAAGCGUGGGGAGCAAACAGGAUUAGAUACCCCCGUAGUCCCUGUCUCUUAUAC
rnacentral:rRNA from 1 species